rnacentral:tRNA from 1 species
GGCUUGGUAGCUUAGUAGAUAAAGCGCUCGUUCAGCAUACAAGAGUACUGAGUUCCAAUCCCAGCCGAGCAC